AGUGAACGCUGGCGGUAGGCCUAACACAUGCAAGUCGAACGGCAGCACAGUAAGAGCUUGCUCUUACGGGUGGCGAGUGGCGGACGGGUGAGGAAUACAUCGGAAUCUACUUUUUCGUGGGGGAUAACGUAGGGAAACUUACGCUAAUACCGCAUACGACCUACGGGUGAAAGCAGGGGAUCUUCUGACCUUGCGCGAUUGAAUGAGCCGAUGUCGGAUUAGCUAGUUGGCGGGGUAAAGGCCCACCAAGGCGACGAUCCGUAGCUGGUCUGAGAGGAUGAUCAGCCACACUGGAACUGAGACACGGUCCAGACUACUACGGGAGGCAGCAGUGGGGAAUAUUGGACAAUGGUCGCAAGCCUGAUCCAGCCAUACCGCGUGGGUGACGAAGGCCUUCGGGUUGUAAAGCCCUUUUGUUGGGAAAGAAACGCAGCAGGUUAAUACCCCGCUGUUCUGACGGUAACCAAAGAAUAAGCACCGGCUAACUUCGUG
rnacentral:rRNA from 1 species